UACGGAGGGGGCUAGCGUUGUUCGGAAUUACUGGGCGUAAAGCGCGCGUAGGCGGCUUUGUAAGUUAGAGGUGAAAGCCCGGGGCUCAACCCCGGAACUGCCUUUAAGACUGCAUCGCUUGAAUCCAGGAGAGGUGAGUGGAAUUCCGAGUGUAGAGGUGAAAUUCGUAGGUAUUCGGAAGAACACCAGUGGCGAAGGCGGCUCACUGGCCUGGUAUUGACGCUGAGGUGCGAAAGCGUGGGGAGCAGACAGG
rnacentral:rRNA from 1 species